AAGUGUAAUAAUAACGUACACGCAGACAUCGCGAACGCCAAACGGCAGCCGGGGUGCCACCGCAAGUGCAAGCAGAGAAGAAUUGCGCGUGGUGAACCACAAGAAGUGCAAAAAGAACCCGAAAACAAGCAACAACUUGAAAUUUGACGUCGACAGCCGACAGGAUUGGAUACGUUCACAGUCGGUGUCGGUGUAACUGAAUCAACGAAAUACUUGUCUUCAGAAAAGGUUGAAGUUCAACGCCGAGAAGAACAAGAACAAGUUGCAGUAGUCGCGCGCAAAAAAACGCAGAGCGCUUGGAAUAAAUGUUUCAAUUACGUAUGACUGGGCCGCCGGUGGCGUUCGUUACCUUCGUGGGCGUCCUCGGUGUGUGUUACAUUGGCCUUCCGCUAAUUAGAGCCUACACUAACCCAAACAAACCAAAAACAGCGACCAGCGGAUUAUAGAAUAUGGAAGAUUGGACCAUUCUCUAUUCGCUAGGAAUUUAAAAUUAUUUAAUUUCAAAGAGUAAAGGGUCGAAAAAUGCGACUAAAAGUGCUAAAAAGUGA